rnacentral:rRNA from 1 species
GGGAGCUCUCCCAUAUGGUCGACCUGCAGGCGGCCGCGAAUUCACUAGUGAUUCUAUUACCGCGGCUGCUGGCACGUAGUUGGCCGGGGCUUCUUCUGCAGGUACCGUCAAUUUCGUCCCUGCUGAAAGCGGUUUACGACCCUAAGGCCUUCAUCCCGCACGCGGCGUCGCUGCGUCAGACUUUCGUCCAUUGCGCAAGAUUCCUAGCUGCUGCCUCCCGUAGGAGUCUGGGCCGUGUCUCAGUCCCAGUGUGGCUGGACAUCCUCUCAGACCAGCUACCCGUCGCUGCCUUGGUGGGCCGUUACCCCACCAACAAGCUGAUAGGCCGCGAGGCCAUCCCGAAGCGGAAUCCAUUUCUUCGCCAGACCAUGCGAUCCGGCGAAGGCAUCCGGUAUUAGCACCAGUUUCCCGGCGUUAUCCCGGUCUUCGGGGCAGGUUCCUCACGUGUUACUCACCCGUUCGCCACUCUCCACCCGGGCAAGCCCGGGUAUCUCGUUCGACUUGCAUGCUUGAAGCGCGCCGCCAGCGUUCGUCCUGAGCCAGGAUCAAACUCUAAUCGAAUUCCCGCGGCCGCCAUGGCGCCCGCAAGCAUGCGAC